rnacentral:rRNA from 1 species
ACCGGCGCAUGGGUUGAGUAACGCGCUAUGCAACCUACCUUUAACUGGGGCAUAGCUCGAGGAAACUCGAAUUAAUUCCCCAUAGUACAUUAUAAUAUCUCAUGAUAUAAAUGUUAAAGAUUUAUCGGUUAAAGAUGGGCAUGCGUCUGAUUAGUUUGUUGGUAAGGUAACGGCUUACCAAGACUACGAUCAGUAGGGGGUCUGAGAGGAUGAUCCCCCACACUGGUACUGAGACACGGACCAGACAUCUACGGAUGGCAGCAGUAAGGAAUAUUGGGCAAUGGGCGCAAGCCUGACCCAGCCAUGCCGCGUGCAGGAUGACGACCCUAUGGGUUGUAAACUGCUUUUAUAUAGGAAGAAAAUACUCUUGCGAGAGGAUCUGACGGUACUAUAUGAAUAAGGACCGGCUAACUCCGUGCCAGCAGCCGCGGUAAUACGGAGGGUUCAAGCGUUUUCCGGAUUUAUUGGGUUUAAAGAGUGCGUAGGUGGUUUAUUAAGUCAGUGGUGAAAUCCUGCAGCUCAACUGUAGAACUGCCAUUGAUACUGGUAAACUUGAGUUUGGUUUAGGUAAGCGGAAUUUAUGAUGUAGCGGUGAAAUGCAUAGAUAUCAUAAGGAACACCGAUAGCGAAGGCGGCUUACUGGACCACAACUGACACUGAGGCACGAAAGCGUGGGUAGCGAACAG